AUUGAACGCUGGCGGCAGGCUUAACACAUGCAAGUCGAGCGGUAGCACAGGGGAGCUUGCUCCCUGGGUGACGAGCGGCGGACGGGUGAGUAAUGUCUGGGAAACUGCCUGAUGGAGGGGGAUAACUACUGGAAACGGUAGCUAAUACCGCAUAACGUCGCAAGACCAAAGAGGGGGACCUUCGGGCCUCUUGCCAUCAGAUGUGCCCAGAUGGGAUUAGCUAGUAGGUGGGGUAAUGGCUCACCUAGGCGACGAUCCCUAGCUGGUCUGAGAGGAUGACCGGCCACACUGGAACGGAGACACGGUCCAGACUCCUACGGGAGGCAGCAGUGGGGAAUAUUGCACAAUGGGCGCAAGCCUGAUGCAGCCAUGCCGCGUGUGUGAAGAAGGCCUUCGGGUUGUAAAGCACUUUCAGCGAGGAGGAAGGUGGUGAGCUUAAUACGUUCAUCAAUUGACGUUACUCGCAGAAGAAGCACCGGCUAACUCCGUG
rnacentral:rRNA from 1 species